GAAUAAAACAAGUGAAGAAAGGUACCUCUUAAUUGUUUUUCUUUGAACAUGGGUAUGCUUUGGAAUCCAUAGUCGUAAAUAAUGUUCUAACUUGCUUUUUGUGUCCAUAUUUAUUCACAUGUUUAGUUCUUUGUUUAUCAUGAAAAUGUCUAUUAAUGAAACUGUGCAGUUAUUAUUGCCAGUCUUAUUAUCGAUCUGUUAUUGAAAGUCUAUAGUGGGGCAGAGAUCGUGGUUCGACCCACCAACGAAGAGUUGGUGCACAACCUCCCUUUUCUCGUCAUCAUUAUCUCCCACGUUGAUCUCGAAAUGUUUGAUCCGUAAGAUCUCCCAGCCAUGCUAUAUUUGGAGACGGAGGGAAAGGCCGAACCGGGCGGCAAAAUCUGGCCUCUGGAAGGCGACGGGGACAGACAUGGCCGAUGGCGGAACACAGAGAGAGGGGUGAAAAGCCUUUGUUUUCUUCGUAGGAAAGCAACAAAAGGGAAUAAAAUGAAGUGGAUCAUGAAUGACAACAAGCCCAGCUGCAAGCUUCCAGGUUCUGAUUUCGUCACCAAGAAAGGCUCUAUCACGCUAGACGACUGGGUCCUACAACGUAUAUACAAGAACAACCACAGCAACGGCCGUUGAAUCAAGAUGGCGACUGCAUAUAGACGACCUUCCAAUUGUAAAGUACAAAUGAAAUCCAAUCCGACCUUUACCAAAAUAUAAGAAAUAUUUUCCAUGUCUUUGAACUAUUCCUAUGUUUAAUAUGUAUAGAUUGUUAUGUUGCAAGAAAUUUCCUCCCUUUGCGUUGAUGAGAGUGGGUGUACCCCACUCCCAUUCACUAUUCCACGGGUAUAGUAUAAGUGAAUUGGAUAAAAAAUGUGUAGAAGAAUAGAAAUAGUUGAAUUGUGGCUGCAGAUUAUAGUGAAAUUAGAGCAAAGGAAUUAAGCGGAUGAGUUUAGCCGUAAAAAAAAAAUGGAUUGGGAACAUGUGUUGUCAAUCCUAAGAGGAGGAGAGGGAUGUCUUGACCUCUAUUCUUCAGUGUCUGAAUUCAAACAGCAUUUGAACGAAGACGAGGCCGCUUUGAUACAUGAUAAGCGACAUUUUGGAUAUGUAUUUUGGAGGGCAAAAUAGCAACAACAAAUCAUUACUCUGCUCAUGCGCAUAGCAUCCGACUGUUGGUUUUGGGGUUGUUAUAUGGUGCAGUUUUGGGGAGUAGUGAAAGUAGAGGGGAACCAUCACCACCUCUCUACCUCACACCAUCCUUUUCUUGUUGGCGCACUCAGCAAGGGGCUGUGUUGGUACAGGAAGCAAAGUAGGGAUCAUGUGUAUGUUGUGGACGACGUCGUAGCAGCGGAUGAUCAAGAGCUUCUUGGAGGCGUAGGACGGGUGUUCCCGAACAAGCACCCUGAAUAAUCCUCACCAGACUUGAGGCUCUACUCUACCAAUGAGUAUCCAAUGCGCGAUGAAGCCGUACGUUGCGGUCAAAGAGCUUACUUGGCACUCCCUCUAUUUGAUUCCAACACAAAUCAAUUCUAUGGUGUGUUGGAGCUCUUGUAUCCUGAUAUUAGAGAGAUCAGGAGAUAUCUACUUUCUAUAUUGGGUGGAGAACUGCAGGUUUGUCUCAUACAGUAUAACAAACAUAAAUAGAGCAUAUACACCUGAUCAAGUACUGUGUUUUUACUCCAUAAGAUCAUGUCCUUAACUUUAUUCAUACUAAACACAUAUCAUCACAUUCAGAUUGCAGGGUUGAGGUCCACUCACAAUUUCACAAAAAACUUGGUAACCUUGUCAUUAUAUCAUUUAUAAACUUGAUACUCAUGUGUGAAUGAAUUAUAAACCAUGCUUCUUCUUUUCUUGCUUUUGUCCCCUAAUAUAAGCAGCAGCAACCUGAGAGUGAAAUCACAAAGAUACUUGAAUUAGCUAUGGCGACAGUCCCAAGACUAUCUCUGGCACAAG